rnacentral:rRNA from 1 species
AGCAGUCGCCGCGGUAAUACAGAGGGUGCGAGCGUUAAUCGGAUUUACUGGGCGUAAAGCGUGCGUAGGCGGCUUCUUAAGUCGGAUGUGAAAUCCCUGAGCUUAACUUAGGAAUUGCAUUCGAUACUGGGAAGCUAGAGUAUGGGAGAGGAUGGUAGAAUUCCAGGUGUAGCGGUGAAAUGCGUAGAGAUCUGGAGGAAUACCGAUGGCGAAGGCAGCCAUCUGGCCUAAUACUGACGCUGAGGUACGAAAGCAUGGGGAGCAAACAGGAUUAGAUACCCGUGUAGUCCCUGUCUCUUAUAA